CAGGGAAUUUUGCGCAAUGGGCGAAAGCCUGACGCAGCAACGCCGCGUGGGGGAUGAAGGCCUUCGGGUUGUAAACCCCUUUCAGGAGGGAAGAAAAUGACGGUACCUCCAGAAGAAGCACCGGCCAACUACGUGCCAGCAGCCGCGGUAAUACGUAGGGUGCGAGCGUUAUCCGGAAUCAUUGGGCGUAAAGAGCUCGUAGGCGGUUCAACAAGUCGGCUGUGAAAGUCUGGGGCUCAACCCCAGAAUUGCAGUCGAUACUGUUGUGACUUGAGUCCGGUAGAGGAGAAUGGAAUUCCCGGUGUAGCGGUGGAAUGCGCAGAUAUCGGGAGGAACACCAGUAGCGAAGGCGGUUCUCUGGGCCGGCACUGACGCUGAGGAGCGAAAGCGUGGGGAGCAAACAGG
rnacentral:rRNA from 1 species